GCAACCAUGCCAGGGCUGCCAAUAUACUGUACUAUGCCCAAGCAAGAAGCGGCAGGGGGCUGUGCGCAGUUACAACAUCUUAUGAAUAGCAAAUACUGGAACGAUCAAGUCGAAUAUGUAAAUACGCUUUCAAGCUUAUUAGACAUCGGAACUUUAAGGAUGAGUUGGAACGCCACAAAACUACAUGAUGGUCUAUGGAGUCUGUACUGCCCCUCCGAAAGCUUCUGCGAGUGCAAGUAUCCCGUGGCCUGCUUGGAGAGGCAGAAUGAACUGAACCAGCUCCCAGAGAAAGCAAGGCAAUAGGAGGACAGCCGGCCCCCUGCUAAGACUCCCUGCCAGCCGGCCCGGACAGCCAGUGUGGGGGCCUGGAGCUCCUGGAUGUGCCAGGCAGGGCUACAGAUGUGCUGCCAGCUUUGCCAGGGGUCACCUUGGAGUGGCCAGUGGCAGCCUGUCCCCCGGCUGCAGCUAGCUGCCAGCUUAAUCCGCCACGGGGGGAGGAGAGGGGCCAGCCAGCCAGUCCUCUGGAUCCCUUACAGUCAACCUCCACUUUUACGGCCACCACUUCACCAUCUCCCUCUCACUCCACCUACCACUGCGCUGAGAUCAGAGUGAGGAGCAACUACAGAGCUGUUCUCCAUGGCUCUGCUCACUAUGAGUAGAGAGUAAACAAGGACAGUCCCCCCUGUGAGAACUUCCUGUCUUUUUGUGAGGAGAGGGGCGGGUGGGUUGAGAGUUGAGAGGAGGACAGCGGCCUCUGGAGAUGCCCCCACCAGCUGCUCGCCCUCCCCUGGGUUGAGGGGGUCGGCGGCUCCCCGUCGGAGGCGUGUGGAACAUGGGCGACAGGCUCGAGGGGGUCAGCGGGUGCCCCUGGCUGGACAGCCAUAAGUAAUGGGGCCCUGCGCCUAAACAGGCACCGCUCUGAAUCAACUUAAUUAGAUAGGAGGAAGGGGGGUGACAGGCUUGCCACGGGACAAAACGGAGUAGGAGUUUUACACACGCAGAUAAAAAGGAUGAUCAUUCUACAUUAGCGCUGAUGGGGAAUUUGCUGACCCUACAUGAUUUGGGAUGCUGAGAAACUCCUCCAAGCAUCUUUUUACUCCCAUCAGAUGACCAGGCAGUUUAGACUUCAGAGUAGAAGCUGAACCUGCAGGGUUUUAGCUAAGUGAAAUAGGCAAUAGACAGAUGCUUCCACAACAAAUGAGAAGUCAUUCUGUGAUCCCCUGCUAGUUAAACUCCAGAUGUAAAAACACUUUGUUUAGAUACUUCACCAAUGUGUCAGGGUGAGUAGAGCCCGACCGAUAUAUCGGUUCACCGAUAUUGUCGGCAGAUAGGGGCCUUUUAACACUAUCGGCGUCGGCUGAUAAUUCCAUCGAUAAGCAAUAUUCCAAAAAUAGGAUUUUAAAAAAUUCUCAUGCUGAUCUGAACGCUUGCGACCAUUCCCAUAAUGUGUCAAGCACAAUGUAAGAAAUGAUGUGUCAAGCACAAUGGUGAUGAUGUGUCAAGCACAAUGGUGAUGAUGUGUCAAGCACAAUGGUGAUGAUGUGUCAAGCACAAUGUAAGAAAUGAUGCGUCAAGCACAAUGUAAGAAAUGAUGUGUCAAGCACAAUGGUGAUGAUGUGUCAAGCACAAUGGUGAUGAUGUGUCAAGCACAAUGGUGAUGAUGUGUCAAGCACAAUGGUGAUGAUGUGUCAAGCACAAUGUAAGAAAUGAUGUGUCAAGCACAAUGUAAGAAAUUAUGUGUCAAGCACAAUGGUGAUGAUGUGUCAAGCACAAUGGUGAUGAUGUGUCAAGCACAAUGGUGAUGAUGUGUCAAGCACAAUGGUGAUGAUGUGUCAAGCACAAUGUAAGAAAUGAU